UACGUAGGGUGCAAGCGUUGUCCGGAAUUAUUGGGCGUAAAGAGCGUGUAGGCGGCCAGAUAAGUCCGCUGUGAAAUCUCGAGGCUCAACUUCGAGCUGUCGGUGGAAACUAUCUGGCUAGAGUCCGGAAGAGGAGAAUGGAAUUCCUGGUGUAGCGGUGAAAUGCGCAGAUAUCAGGAAGAACACCCGUGGCGAAGGCGGUUCUCUGGGACGGUACUGACGCUGAGACGCGAAAGCGUGGGGAGCGAACAGG
rnacentral:rRNA from 1 species